AACGCACAUUGCGCCCAUUGGCAUUCCGAUGGGCAUGCCUGUUCGAGCGUCAUUAUCCUCCCUCAACCCCCUGGGGUUUGGUGUUGGACUCUGUUGUGCGGUGUUGGCACAACUGGUCUCAAAGACAAUGACGGCGUCCGUGGGACCCUCGGUGCAACGAGCUUUUCGAAGCACGCGUCGAGUGGACAGUCUCUCCGGGCCGGUCUCCUUUUUCCAUUUUUCUCAGGUUGACCUCGGAUCAGGUAGGAAUACCCGCUGAACUUAA
rnacentral:misc_RNA from 1 species